UACGUAGGGAGCAAGCGUUGUUCGGAAUUACUGGGCGUAAAGGGCUCGUAGGUGGCCAACUAAGUCAGACGUGAAAUCCCUCGGCUUAACCGGGGAACUGCGUCUGAUACUGGAUGGCUUGAGUUUGGGAGAGGGAUGCGGAAUUCCAGGUGUAGCGGUGAAAUGCGUAGAUAUCUGGAGGAACACCGGUGGCGAAGGCGGCAUCCUGGACCAACACUGACACUGAGGAGCGAAAGCCAGGGGAGCAAACGGG
rnacentral:rRNA from 1 species